UCAUAAUGGCUAACACUUGAAUACGCUUACACUUGAGAUUGUUUUGCAGAUACAUUGAGCUGAACCCCUCUGAUGCUCCAAGUUGACCAGGUAUACUUUAGAAAUGUUUUAGGCAGUGCAAUAACAAACUAUUAAAACUCGGUGAGGAACAAGAUACAGCCAUGAUUGAAACACUGCUAGUUCAGGCUCAGGAACAUAAUAGCUGGUUGUGCAGCUUCUGGGCUGGUCUGCCCAGAGUACAAAAGGCAUUUGCUACAUUGGGGGGUAUUGUGUUCUUUAUUAGAGUUAAGACAAUAUAGUUCCUGAACUUCAGACUCCAAACAAGCAGUCUCAGUAUUAGGGUUUUAGGGGAAGAAGGAGCUUGGUGGCUUGUGGUGCCUUUUUUUUUCCUUUUUUUUUUUUUAAUGGGAACUGUCAAGGUCUGAGACAUGCUCUGAAUGUGAACAUGGUAUCUUUCCUCAGUAAAUUGGAUUAUGUUAGAAGGUCUGUUUUGUUUAUUUGGUUCUCUUCUUGAAGACGUUAUUCCUUGCAUGCAAAAUUUUGAUGGAAAACAGUUCAGAAACUUUUUGUGAGUGACUGAGGUCUUGCUUGCAUGUUUCAGAGUGCAAAUUAAGUUUGUCCCCUUGAGUCCCCAUUAGAAACUCCUGUAAGAUCAUAGAAGCUAUGUGCAAGCUGUCUAAUAUGUAAUAUCUCUUUAUGUGUAUAUUUUUUACCUUGGUGAACAGAAGACUCACAAAGGACAUAACCUGUCUGAAGGAUUUUAUCAAUGAUCCCAAAAGAGAAGAACCUCUAGUUGGUUUAGAACAUGUGGUUGAAAUCAGAUUUGAAGGAAGAAAAGAGCCACAUUAUAAGUGCAAGCUGUGUGGGUUUAAUAUGGAGAUGGCACCUAUGAUAGAACACCUUAGUGGAUAUAAACACAGAAGAGCAUACAUCAUGAGUAAUUUUGAUGCGUUUUGAUAACAAUUUCU